rnacentral:rRNA from 1 species
GACGAACGCUGGCGGCGUGCUUAACACAUGCAAGUCGAACGGAAAGGCCCUGCUUUUGUGGGGUGCUCGAGUGGCGAACGGGUGAGUAACACGUGAGUAACCUGCCCUUGACUUUGGGAUAACUUCAGGAAACUGGGGCUAAUACCGGAUAGGAGCUCCUGCUGCAUGGUGGGGGUUGGAAAGUUUCGGCGGUUGGGGAUGGACUCGCGGCUUAUCAGCUUGUUGGUGGGGUAGUGGCUUACCAAGGCUUUGACGGGUAGCCGGCCUGAGAGGGUGACCGGGCACAUUGGGACUGAGAUACGGGCCAGACUCCUACGGGAGGCAGCAGUGGGGAAUAUUGCACAAUGGGCGGAGGCCUGAGGCAGCAACGCCGCGUGCGGGAUGACGGCCUUCGGGUUGUAAACCGCGUUCGCCUGUGACGAAGCGUGAGUGAGGGGAAUGUGUAGAGAGGCACCGGGUAACUACGUG